CCUACGGGAGGCAGCAGUGAGGAAUAUUGCGCAAUGGGCGAAAGCCUGACGCAGCGACGCCGCGUGGGGGAUGAAGGCCUUCGGGUUGUAAACCCCUGUCAGGAGGGACGAAGCGGCUUCGUGCCGUGACGGUACCUCGGUAGGAAGCCCCGGCCAACUACGUGCCAGCAGCCGCGGUAAGACGUAGGGGGCGAGCGUUGUCCGGAAUUACUGGGCGUAAAGAGCUCGUAGGCGGCCUGUUAAGUCGGAUGUGAAAGCCCCCGGCUCAACCGGGGGAAUUGCAUCCGAUACUGGCAGGCUAGAGUCUGGUAGAGGGAGGUGGAAUUCCCGGUGUAGCGGUGAAAUGCGCAGAUAUCGGGAGGAACACCGGUGGCGAAAGCGGCCUCCUGGGCCACGACUGACGCUGAGAGCGAAAGCUGGGGGAGCGAACA
rnacentral:rRNA from 1 species